GAAGAGGAUUUGAAAGCGUGGAGCUAUUGAAUACACAUCGCCUUGUGAUCAAUUUGAUAGAUUAUUAACGUUUACUAAUACCUAAAGUUGGAUUACAAAAUUUCCAUAGAUGGAUAUUUUGGGUAUACAUGGACCGAUUUAAUCGAAAAAAAGACCCAAUAGUGAUGUUAUGGGACAUAUAGGAGUGCCAACAAAGAAGCUCGUCCAAGUCCUGGGAAUUUGGGCCUUGUCCGGAGUAAGAAGAACAUCCACAGCAACUGACUCGUUGAAGUAGAGGUUGUCAUCCAAAUCGAGGUUUCCUGUCCUGCCAAUGACCCACUGCCAUUCAAAACACCAGGACAUAUCCACGUCUCCAGUUGACUAGAGAGAGGGAGAGAGAGAGAGAGAGAGAGAGAAUGUAAAUAAUGGGCAGGUGGUACCAUGUCACAACAGAGUAAGAUCACGGACAGAUUGCUUGAGUCUUCAUGGU
ensembl:lncRNA